UUUGAAAUCUCCGAGGCCUGAACGCUUCGGCGAGUUGUAGUUGCGAGAAGCACUUUCUCGGCGGACCGACCGUGCCUAAGUUGCUUGGAACAGCACGUCGCAGAGGGUGACAACCCCGUCUGUGGCGCGGACGGCCGCUCACGAUGUGCUUUCGAAGAGUCGGGUUGUUUGGGAAUGCAGCCCAAAACGGGUGGUAAACUCCAUCUAAAGCUAAAUACUGGCGUGAGACCGAUAGCGAACAAGUACCGUGAGGGAAAGAUGAAAAGAACUUUGAAAAGAGAGUUAAAAAGUACGUGAAACCGUUGGAAGGGAAACGAAUGGACUCAGCAAUGCGCCGUUUGAGAUUCAGCCGGCGGGUAGUGCCGGCCCGGGGUUUGCGGAUCUGAAUGGACCGCGGUCCCGGGCUCGGAGCUCCCGGUCGUCGCACUUCUCUUGGGCGCGCGUCAACGUCGGUUGGGACUGGGUCUGAAAGGUGCCGGRAAGGUAGGUCUGUGCGUCCCUUCGGGGUCGCUCGGUCUGUUACAGCCCGGUUCUCCUUGCGGCUCGGGCCCGACCGAGGCGGUGCAGCGCAUGCCUCUCGUAAGGCUAGGGUCCCGUCCCUCCGGCCGGUUGUCGAAUGUGGUGGACUGCUUGCAGUGCUCCGCGAUUGCUGCCGGUCGUUGGGGUGGUGAUCUCGUACCAUG
rnacentral:rRNA from 1 species